CCUACGGGAGGCAGCAGUGAGGAAUAUUGGUCAAUGGCCGGAAGGCUGAACCAGCCAAGUCGCGUGAAGGAUGAAUGCGCUAAGCAUUGUAAACUUCUUUUGUAAAGGGAUAAAAUCAGGCACGUGUGCCUGUUCGUGGGUACUUUAAGAAUAAGCAUCGGCUAACUCCGUGCCAGCAGCCGCGGUAAUACGGAGGAUGCGAGCGUUAUCCGGAUUUAUUGGGUUUAAAGGGAGCGUAGGUGGAUGGUUAAGUCAGUGGUGAAAUUUUGGGGCUCAACCUUAAUAGGGCCGUUGAAACUGGGAGUCUUGAGUAGAGUAGAGGUACGCGGAAUGCGUGGUGUAGCGGUGAAAUGCAUAGAUAUCACGAAGAACUCCGAUUGCGAAGGCAGCGUACUGG
rnacentral:rRNA from 1 species